rnacentral:rRNA from 1 species
GACGGAGGGUGCUAGCGUUGUUCGGAAUUACUGGGCGUAAAGGGCGCGUAGGCGGCUCUGUCAGUCGGGUGUGAAAGCCCGGGGCUCAACCCCGGAACGGCACCCGAGACGGCGGGGCUGGAGACCGGGAGAGGAGGGUGGAAUAGCCAGUGUAGAGGUGAAAUUCGUAGAUAUUGGCUGGAACACCGGUGGCGAAAGCGGCUCUCUGGCCCGGUUCUGACGCUGAGGCGCGAAAGCGUGGGGAGCAAACAGG